GACGAACGCUGGCGGCGUGCUUAACACAUGCAAGUCGAACGAUGAAGAAGAGAAACGCGAACUUCGGUUCAAAUUUCACUUCGGAUUAGUGUCAGACGGGUGAGUAACGCGUGAGCAACCUACCUCUUACAAAGGGAUAGCCUCGGGAAACCGUGAUUAAUACCAUAUGACACAUUCAUAAGGCAUCUUAAGAAUGUUAAAGCUACGGCGGUAAGAGAUGGGCUCGCGUCCCAUUAGCUAGUUGGUGAGGUAACGGCCCACCAAGGCGACGAUGGGUAACCGGCCAGAGAGGGAGAACGGUCACAUUGGAACUGAGACACGGUCCAAACUCCUACGGGAGGCAGCAGUGGGGAAUAUUGCACAAUGGAGGGAGCUCUGAUGCAGCGACGCCGCGUGAGCGAUGAAGGAAUUCGUGUCGUAAAGCUCUGUUCUAUGGGAAGAAAAGGACUGUACCAUAGGAGAAAGCCCCGGCUAAAUACGUG
rnacentral:rRNA from 1 species